AAUCAGAGCAUCUUUUAAAAGGGAGACGGCAUCUGAACCUUGCCGAGUAGGAAUGUUCCAGAAGUAAGAGAGAUGACUAGGGUUUCAAGAACAAGGACCAGCACCUAUGAAGGCUCUGAGGCACAGACCACUGUGACCUGUGGAGAAGUGCAAAGUGAAAGGCACGUUUUGAUUACUACCGACAUUCACAGUCUGGACACGGGUGACAAAUCUAAAAGAUAUUGCCCAUUCGUCCAACUGCCGCUGUCCUGCCAGUAUAUCGUCUGAGAUUACCAUCAGCUAAAUAUUGCAUUGUCUUUGGACAAUUUUCCUACAUUGUGACUCCUCACUACAUUUUCAAUGCUUUUCUAGUCCCAGACAAGCUACAGACUGUUAAUUUACACUUGCUUUUGCCUUGCCUGAGGAAAUUGAAAAUAAAUUUUAAUUUCCUAGUCAAGGGCUACGGGUGCUUUGUGUGGUUUGGAGGAAAAAAAAAUACUGUUAGAUGGAAUUAGGGAAUAUUAGGAGAGUUUCUGAAGUUAGUGAAGGUACACAGUAAUUGAUCACUUGCCCUCAUAGUGAGAGGUCAUUCCAAUGAGCAGAGGUUCUGUCAAUAUCUGAGAUCUGUUUGAUACCUGGCCUCAAUCUGUCGAUCACGCCCAGUAACCAUAUUCAUAGGCUUCAGAUCUGAAUUUUGAAUUGCAUCAGAAGCUUUCCUCUGGCCUCAGAGAUGCCAUUGAGACCAUUCUCAUAGUUAGUCACCACUCACACUACACAAAAUGGAAGAAAAAAACUUCCUUUGGGGCAAAUCAACAAUCUCUGGUAGGAAAAUAAACAAGGAUGCUUUCAGAAUACCAGAAGCCCAAGUCUGAGCAUCUGGAGGCAAAGGAAGAGUAGAGAAGUCUUUGUUGGUGGGACCACUGCCUGUAGGAAUUUAAGGGAACUUGGAUCUUAGGAGUUGCUCAGUUAAGUCCUAGAGAGAGCCUAAGUGGGACUGAUGAGAAGCAGAACAAAUUGCUAUUUCUGAGAAGAAAAACCAACACUUUUGGAUGUUAACUUUUGGAUGUUUGAAUUUUUUGUUUUAGUUUUUAUUCCUUUUGGGAAAAGCUAUUUUUAUCGCAAAAAAAUAUGUAAAGCUAGCAACAAAAUAGUUGAAAGUAUUUAUUGUGUACCUACUGUGUGAUAAUAGCAGCUGGGUUUCAAACACAAGUGAAUAUGAAAUAAAUGAGCCCUAGAUGCACAAAAA
rnacentral:lncRNA from 1 species